rnacentral:rRNA from 1 species
CAUUGGAUCACUUGGCAAAAGAUGUGUGCGAGCAAGAGGGCUGGAGGCAUGGGCUUUCGUGACCUGGAGGCUUUCAACCAAGCGUUGUUAGCGAAACAAGCAUGGCGAAUUCUUCAAGUUCCUAACUCUCUUUGUGCCAGAGUGCUUAAAGCUCGAUAUUUUAAGGACGAGUCAAUAUUGUCAGCAUCCUGCCCGGCUUCUGGGUCUUUCACCUUUCGGAGUAUAUUGCAUGGACGAGAU